UUGCCUACGGGACGCAGCAGUGGGGAAUAUUGCACAAUGGGGGAAACCCUGAUGCAGCGACGCCGCGUGAGUGAAGAAGUAUUUCGGUAUGUAAAUCUCUAUCAGCAGGGAAGAAAAUGACGGUACCUGACUAAGAAGCCCCGGCUAACUACGUGCCAGCAGCCGCGGUAAUACGUAGGGGGCAAGCGUUAUCCGGAUUUACUGGGUGUAAAGGGAGCGUAGACGGCGAAGAAAGUCUGAAGUGAAAGCCCGCGGCUCAACCGCAGAAUGGCUUUGGAAACUUUUUCGCUGGAGUACCGGAGAGG
rnacentral:rRNA from 1 species